rnacentral:rRNA from 1 species
GAAACCUGGGCUAAUACCGCAUCAUAUCCCGGGCUCACAAGAAUCCGGGAUCAAAGCUGGGGACCCUUCGGGGCCUGGCGCCUGAGGAGGGGCCCGCGGCCGAUUAGCUUGUUGGCGAGGUAAUGGCUCACCAAGGCAACGAUCGGUAGCCGGCCUGAGAGGGCGGACGGUCACACUGGGACUGAGACACGGCCCAGACUCCUACGGGAGGCAGCAGUGGGGAAUUUUUGUCAAUGGGGGAAACCCUGAACAAGCAACGCCGCGUGGAGGAUGAAGGCCUUCGGGUCGUAAACUCCUGUCGGAGGGGACGAAAGCGGUUGGGGUGAAUAGCCUCAGUCGUUGACGGUACCCUAGGAGGAAGCCCCGGCUAACUCCGCGCCAGCAGCCGCGGUAAUACGGGGGGGGCAAGCGUUGUUCGGAAUUACUGGGCGUAAAGGGUGCGCAGGCGGCCUGGCAAGUCCUUCGUGAAAUCCCACGGCUCAACUGUGGAACUGCGGCGGAUACUGCCUGGCUUGAGUCCGGGAGAGGGGAGUGGAAUUCCCAGUGUAGCGGUGAAAUGCGUAGAUAUUGGGAGGAACACCGGUGGCGA